CCCAAAGUGUUGGGAUGACAGACAUGAAUCCCUGCACCCAGACUUUUUUUCCUUAAAUGCUCACACUAGUUAAUAAUUUGGCAUUUUAAUGUUUCAGUCAAUUGGUAAUCAACACUGAUUACAGAGAACAGCGUCUUCACCUGGGUGUAAGAUGACUGCUACUUCAGGCCUCGCUUCCCAUCUAGCCCCAGAUCCUGCCAUUCCCCACAACAUCCCAUGCUCCAGUGAAACCUCCUCAGCAUUCCCAGUCUCAUGCAGAUGGCCCACUCCUCCGUGACUUCACACCUGCUGUGUGCUUCCAGAUUUUGUUCCUUGGGCAACCUACUGUAUAUGGCCUCAUGGGGCUCCCUGCUCCCAUCCUCAUCAACUCCUCAAUACCUUUCCAAUCAGCCCGCCUUCCACCACAGUCUAUGCUGAGAAAGGUCUUUGCUCACGUGGUGAGAAUACAGACACAGUUCCUGCCCUCCUGAGGCUCACAUUCCAGUUCUGCAAGCUGAGAAGUCCAAGAUCACGAUGCUGGCUGAUCAAGGUUCCUGGUGAGGACUUUCUUCCUGGUUUGCAGAGAGAGAGAGAGAGAGAGAGAGAGAGAGAGCCAGACAGACAGACGGGUUUCUUCCCCUUUUUAUAAGGUCAUUAAUCUCAUAGUGACAGUGACACCUUCAUGACCUCAUUUAACCCAAAUCACCUCCCAAAGUCUCCACCUCCUGAUACGAUCACAUUGGGGGUUAAGGCUUCAACGUAUACAAUUUGAUGGGGACACAAGCAUUUAACCCAAAGCACCCUCCCACCAUGUCGACAGAGCUGUAGGAGGAAUUUAGCACAGCUGGGAAAAUUUCUCUGGCACAUAAUCAGGCAUUCAUUGUUGGUAAUCUCUAUCAAAAGCUUAUGAAGCAACACAAUGAUGCUGAAUAACAAACAAUUCUAAAUCUCAGUGAUUUAAAUUAACCAUCAUCUAUGCUCAUGCUUCCUGGGCUGCAGGUCAGCUGUGGCGUGGGUGAUCUACGUGGGUACAGCUAGGCACCUCUCCUCCAGGUAUGCCUUGCAGGUGCACGGGUCAGUUGGAAAAACUCUCUUUCAAGCCACAGUUUGUAUUCAGAUCUAUUUUAUCUGUCUCAUUCUGCAGUGAUCAUCACAGGGCAUAGAGCUAUCUGAUUUACAACCUUUUUAAGUUGCGAGUAGCAGCUCUCAAAGUGGUAUGUGUAAACAUGCAAUGCCUUAAGGCCUAGGUUCCAAAUUGAUAUAUGGUCAUUUCUGCCCGCAUUUCACUGGCCAAAAGAGUCCCAUAGUCAAGCUUGACAUCAAUAGGGUGAGAAAGUCAACUCUUGCCAUUGGAGGCCAGUAUGUUUCUGUGUUGGGGGCAGGAGAGGUACUGAAUAUUUGUUAAACAAUCAUUUAAUCUAUCACAACUAUAUUUACAGAAAGUCCUUUACUUUCUGACGUAGGCCUCUACACAUGAAUUAUUUCAAGUUUGCCCCCUUCCUGCUUUUUUUGGUUUUCCCCUGAGUUUGUUAUGAGUAGCCAGAAAGAUCUUCUCUCCUUAGGAAAAAUAUGUAGAAGAUUUAGAAACACCUGACUUUGCAUGAACUUCCAGAAAAAACAGCCAGACGUGGUCCAGUUGAGUCUCUGUCCUGCUGCUUGAGGAAGGGGACCAUGGGACGUGGGUCUAUGGGUCUCAUUUGGAUUUGAGGCCAUGUGUUGAGCCGCCCAGUACAGACCAGACAGCAGAAUGUCACCUCCGCAGAUGUGUACCUGACUUUACUGCUCCGAUUACAGCAUCACUUCUCCCCUGUCACCAACUGGCAACCCACAGCAAAGGAUGUUUUUCUGAUCAUUUUGCACUCAUUAAACGCAGCUGUCACAACAGUGGAUGCGAGGAUGCAUGCAAAACUUUUCUGCCACAUCAAAAUAAAGCUGAAAUGCUUUUUAAAAAAAGA